GUGGGGAAUAUUGGACAAUGGGCGAAAGCCUGAUCCAGCCAUGCCGCGUGUGUGAAGAAGGUCUUCGGAUUGUAAAGCACUUUAAGUUGGGAGGAAGGGCAGUAAGUUAAUACCUUGCUGUUUUGACGUUACCGACAGAAUAAGCACCGGCUAACUUCGUGCCAGCAGCCGCGGUAAUACGAAGGGUGCAAGCGUUAAUCGGAAUUACUGGGCGUAAAGCGCGCGUAGGUGGUUUUGUAAGUUGGAGGUGAAAUCCCCGGGCUCAACCUGGGAACUGCCUCCAGAACUGCAUGACUAGAGUACGGUAGAGGGUAGUGGAAUUGCCUGUGUAGCGGUGAAAUGCGUAGAUAUAGGAAGGACCACCAGUGGCGAAGGCGACUACCUGGACUGAUACUGACACUGAGGUGCGAAAGCGUGGGGAGCAAACAGGAUUAGAUACCCUUGUAGUCC
rnacentral:rRNA from 1 species